UCGGGAAUUUUGGACAAUGGGCGCAAGCCUGAUCCAGCCAUACCGCGUGAGUGAAGAAGGCCUUCGGGUUGUAAAGCUCUUUCAGACGGAAAGAAACGGUUACGGCUAAUACCCGUGACUAAUGACGGUACCGUAAGAAGAAGCACCGGCUAACUACGUGCCAGCAGCCGCGGUAAUACGUAGGGUGCGAGCGUUAAUCGGAAUUACUGGGCGUAAAGCGUGCGCAGGCGGUUUGGUAAGACAGAUGUGAAAUCCCCGGGCUUAACCUGGGAACUGCAUUUGUGACUGCCAGACUAGAGUGUAGCAGAGGGGGGUAGAAUUCCACGUGUAGCAGUGAAAUGCGUAGAUAUCAAGAGGAACACCUGAGGUGAAGACGGGUUGCUGGGCUGACACUGACGCUGAGGCGCGAAAGCCAGGGGAGCAAACGGGAUUAGAUACCCACGUAGUCCCUGAGCGGGCUGGCAAGGCGCAU
rnacentral:rRNA from 1 species